rnacentral:lncRNA from 1 species
UGAUACACCGUGUGACCUUAGCAGAAUUGCUCAAAUUUAGCAAUGAAACUGAUAGAUUUACAUGAUGCAUAUGCAGCAAGACUCUUUGUCUUCAUGUCCUUGUGCUCAUUAUAAAAGUAUGGACGCAGAGCAUGGUUUAUAGAGUGAUGAUAAAAUAUACCAUGGCACCUGGGCUCCCUGCAGAGCUCUGAAGAUUUAUCUGUCUUUAGAUGAGGUACUGUACAGGGAUGGCUCACUCCCAUUGCUGCACAGGUGAACUUAAAGCUAGACUUGAAAGGAUCACUCAUCUGGAGAGAAGAAUAAUUUAGUCUUUACCCAUUCCAGAGUCCUCCCAUGCUUGUUUUUUAAUAAAGGACAUCAGUUUACAUAGCUGUGCUGAACUGUGGGUUUUUUUUGUUUAGUCAUUUAAACUACGUGCAUUAGGAUGCCUAAUGAUAAUUUUAUCUCUGCAGAAGCCCGGCUCGAGUUGAGCAGAGCAUGUCUACUCUUUGCACUUAUGUCCAGAGGAAGAAGACCUUGAAAAAAGAUCUCUUCAGUUUAAGGAUAUACGUGAUGCAGUAAAAAGAGUGCCUGCUGAACUUUAAGCUGCUAUGGUUGAUUUCAAAACCACGAACACCAAACCUGUACAACUAGGAAGAUCCUAUGGGCUCUGUUAAAAAAUCUCACUCCUAAGCUACUUCAGAAUUUAGGAGAUCAUACUCCGAACUGCCAAGCUCUUGAGUACUUGCGAAAUUGUAUUCCCUCUCAAAAUUACAGAUGUUGUGAUGAUCUAAAGAACAAACAUUUCUGCUUUCCACCAGGCACAAUAGAAAA